AUUGAACGCUGGCGGCAUGCCUAACACAUGCAAGUCGAGCGGAGCGGCGGACGGGGAAGUAAUGCCUAUGAAUCUGCCUGGUAGUGGGAGAUUACGUCCGGUAACGGGCGCUAAUACCGCAUACUAUCAGAUGAGACUAGGUCGGAUUUGCUAGUUGGUGGGGUAAAGGCCGAACAAGGCGACGAUCCGUAACUGGUCUGAGAUGAUGAGCAGGCACACUGGAACGUGUACACGGGCCAGAAGCUCUCGUGAGGCCGCAGUGGGGAAUAUUUGAACAAUGGCGUAAGCCUGGUCCCGCCAAUCCGCGUUGUGGAAGAAGUGCUUCGGAGUGUAAAGCAAUUUAAGUUGGGAGGCGGUACCUGCAGAAUAAGCACCGGCUAACUUCGUGCCAGCAGCCGCGGUAAUAC
rnacentral:rRNA from 1 species